GUACACGCUGUGACUAGCAUAUCAAUAAGCGGAGGAAAAGAAACUAACAAGGAUUCCCCUAGUAACGGCGAGUGAAGCGGGAGGAGCUCAAAUUUGAAAUCUUAAAGGGUUUCCCUUUACGAAUUGUAGUUUAAAGAAGUGUUUUCUGUUGAGGUUUUGGUAAAAGUUCUUUGGAAUAGGACAUCAUAGAGGGUGAGAAUCCCGUAUUUGACCUUUACUUUCAACUUUGUGAUACACUUUCAAAGAGUCGGAUUGUUUGGGAAUGCAGUCCAAAAUGGGUGGUAAAUUUCAUCUAAAGCUAAAUAUUGGCGAGAGACCGAUAGCGAACAAGUACCGUGAGGGAAAGAUGAAAAGAACUUUGAAAAGAGAGUUAAACAGUACGUGAAAUUGUCAAAAGGGAAGCGUUUGACACCAGUGUUGUUUUUCUGAAAAUCAAUUAAAGAACUGUUUAUGCUAAGCUGUUUAGACUUUAUCAGCUAUCUGUUUAGUUUUGAGCUUUUCUUUAAUGCACUUUUCAGUUAACAAGUCAACAUCAAUUUCUUUUGCUGUAAAAAAGCUUGAGGAAGGUGGCUUGAGAUUCGUCUUAAGUGUUUAUAGCCUCUUGCCUAUGCAGUCGGAGAGAUUGAGGUCUGCAGCGUAGAUCCUUCGGGGCUAAAUGCAUUUGUGCUAAGUUAUAGCAUUUUAUAGACAACUUGUUGACUAUGAUUUGUCUUGUAGCUUACUCGCUUAUGUUAUUUUACCUACGCUUAGGAUGUUGACGCGCGUGUGUGCGUG
rnacentral:rRNA from 1 species